rnacentral:rRNA from 2 species
GCAAGGCUGACGCAGCAACGCCGCGUGAGUGAAGAAGGCCUUCGGGUUGUAAAGUAAUGUUGCCCGUGACGAACGGACACAUCAGGAAAUGGGGUGUGGAUUGACGGUAGCGGGAGAGGAAGCCCCGGCUAACUACGUGCCAGCAGCCGCGGUAAUACGUAGGGGGCGAGCGUUGUCCGGAUUUAUUGGGCGUAAAGGGCGUGUAGGCGGCCUGUUAAGUCAGGGGUGAAAGACCGCGGCUCAACUGCGGGAGUGCCUCGGAAACUGGGAGGCUUGAGUGCUCUAGAGGGCAGUGGAAUUGCCGGUGUAGCAGUGAAAUGCGUAGAGAUCGGCAGGAACACCAGUGGCGAAG